ACAAACGAAAGCAUUCCCAACACAUAGUGUAAGAUAGGAUGGUGUUCUCCGCACACAUAAGCACCCAGAUGCAUCAUCUGCUCCAACUUGCUGCCAUCGUAAUCGCAUUGUUGAUGUUAUUUUGUCUUCAACUGUCGUUCGGUCGACCGGGCCCUCCGGGUGCAGGCCCUCAUGUCGGGCCUCCAAUUGUUGAUCCUCGCAACGGAUGACAAUGAAUAGGCUACAAUUUCCCACCUUAUAUGGAAUCCGUAUUAAAUGGGACAAUUUACUCUUAUAGUAAAUGGAGAUCCAUCUAGUGUUUCAGCAUUUCCUAUUCGUGCUCGGUUGCUCGUGGAUGAUCUUUAUUCGCUUGGGAGGUUACCUUCAAGGAACAUAGUGGUCGCUAUUUAUUAACGUGGCAUAAGGACAUAAAGGAGACCAUCCGUUUGAUAGCACAUCAAUGGAGGCAUUGGGAAUUUUAAGUUAAGAAUGGAUGGAUAAGAAAUAUUAAACAUUAUUUAAGAAUAUUUUUCUCAUAUGAGUACUCUUUAUCCUUUUAUUUUUUAUGAUCAGCAAUGAAGAUGAAGACUCUGUAAGAA